GGUUGCUGAGUAAUGGAGGCUGAUGGGUAAUGGAGUCUGGUAGGUCAUGGAGGCUGGUAGGUUAUGGAGGCUGGUGGGUAAUGGAGGCUGGUGGGUAACAAAGGCUGGUAUGUAAUGGACGCUGAUGGACUGAGGAUCUGUGGGAGGCUGAGUGGGGUGAGGCUGAAGCCACCAAGCAGCUGCUUUGGACUGAGUGCAGCAACAGUGCAGAAGUGACUGCGCUUGGACCGGCCACUGGGCAGGUGACGCUGGGACUGGAUCAAAGGCUAUUUCUUCCAAGGAAAUGUAUUGCUGAACACACCGAAACCAAAGCACAGAACAUCUCAGGGUAACAUUCUGGACUUAGGAA
rnacentral:lncRNA from 1 species